UACAACCCAAGGAUGGAAGGCCCCUGUCACAAAGCCUACCUAGAUGGAUAGAGGACCCAAGUGAAACAGUUUCUGGCAUCACUACCACCACUGAUUAAACAAGAAUAAGAGAACAUUUUAUCAUCAUCUGCUUUAUUCACAUAAAUGAAGUUGUGAUGAAUAAAUCUGCUUUUAUGCAGACACAAGGAAUUAAGUGGCUUCAUCAUUGCCCUUCUACCUCAAAGAGAAUUUAUUCCAAAAUGCUAAGAUAAAUGGAAGACUCUUGAACUUGUGAACUGAUGUGAAAUGCAGAAUCUCUUUUGAGUCUUUGCUGUUUUGAAGAUUGAAAAAUAUUGUUCAGCAUGGGUGACCACCAAAAAGUAAUCUUAAGCCAUCUAGAUGUCACAAUUGAAACAAACUGGGGAGUUGGUUGCUAUUGUAAAAUAAAAUAUACUGUUUUGAAAACUU
rnacentral:lncRNA from 1 species